rnacentral:rRNA from 1 species
CCUACGGGUGGCAGCAGUGGGGAAUAUUGGACAAUGGGGGCAACCCUGAUCCAGCCAUGCCGCGUGUGUGAAGAAGGCCCUCGGGUUGUAAAGCACUUUCAGUGAGGAAGAACGCCUGGUGGUUAAUACCCAUCAGGAAAGACAUCACUCACAGAAGAAGCACCGGCUAACUCCGUGCCAGCAGCCGCGGUAAUACGGAGGGUGCGAGCGUUAAUCGGAAUUACUGGGCGUAAAGCGCGCGUAGGUGGCUUGAUAAGCCGGUUGUGAAAGCCCCGGGCUCAACCUGGGAACGGCAUCCGGAACUGUCAAGCUAGAGUGCAGGAGAGGAAGGUAGAAUUCCCGGUGUAGCGGUGAAAUGCGUAGCGAUCGGGAGGAAUACCAGUGGCGAAGGCGGCCUUCUGGACUGACACUGACACUGAGGUGCGAAAGCGUGGGUAGCAAACAGGAUUAGAUACCCCAGUAGUC